ACAAAAUAUAUUUUUGGCUCUUCAAUUACUUAUUAUGGAAAAACAUUAAAAUUUAUGGGGCAAAGAAUCAAACCCCAAACCCUUUGUAGGAAAGAAUUAAACAUAGACCAGUAGAACUAAUUAGAUUUUGUUAAAAAAAUUGGCCCUUAAAAUACUUAUACACAUCAGGCUCCCAAGCAUGUGCUUGAUCAGCCUAUAGUCAGGCACGGCCCUGUGUGUAUAUAUAUACAUGAGCUAGUUUGUUGUUUUCAUGGCUCCACUUAUUUUCCUCUAUUUGUUUAGUUUCUUAAAAUUAAAUUACUACAAACUCCUAGCUUCUCCACUAUGCAUAUAUUAAGAAACCUACAUGGUAAAAGAAAAGGAGGAAGAAGAGAGUUUCAUAAGUUUUUUUUUGUUUGGUGUAAAGAGUUUCAUAAGUUGUUAUUUCCGCUUAAAUUUGUUUUGCUUUUGCCAACUUGCGUAUCUCCACUUAAAAACAAUCCCACUGGUUCUUUCUUAUUACUGACCUAAUGGAAGCAUUUAGUGUUUUUCAAGUUAUUUCAAUCAGUGAUCAUAUAAAACCCACGUUGCACAUCAUGCUCAGAAAUAUUCAACCACGUGGAGAAGAUGAUGAGUCACGAGUAGGUCCAGUUUUGGCCCACUUUAAAACUCCUCCGCCAACUACCUAACCACAUCGAAACAAGUUUUUUUUUAAUUUUUAAAAUUAAUUUUAUUAAGUUGCUCAGAAAAAUUAAUUUUACUAUUAUGAUUAUCUUUUUAUAGUUUCUGUUUUGUUUGUUUGCUCUUUUAGGUAGUUCCAAGUUCUAUAUUCAUCACCUUGAAAGCUUGCAUGAUAAUAUGCUUUUGAAUCUCUAGACGUAACAGUUUUUUCUUUCUUUUUACAAAAAAGUGUUACCAAAAAGAAUAGUUGGAAGUUUAUUGCAUAUUUUUCUAUUUUAUUAAGAUAUAAGUGGAAGCAGUGGCGGAGGCAGCAUAUAACCAUGUGGGUCAAUUGACCCAUGUGAAUUUUGAAGAUUUUUUGUUUUGCAUGUAUGUCUUGUGGAAACAUACGAUGAGUUUAGCUUAAUGACUCUUGCAAAAUAUAUGUAUCAUCAAUUUGACCCUCUUAAAACAAAAUUCUCCCUCUGCCACUGAGUGGAAGUAUUAAGAAAUAGGAAUGUCACUUCCAGAUGACAAAAAAAAAAAAAAAAAAGAAUGUCACUUCCAUGUUAUACACUAAAUUAGUUCGGAGACUUUCGUUGGAAAAUUAAAUUUUUAUCUGGCACUCAUUCCUCAAUGCAAUGUCACUAAUAUAAAAUAAUGUCACUAAUACAAAAUAAUAAAAUACGCAUAUAUAUAUAUAUAUAUAAUCGGGAUUAAAUAUAUCAUUACGUACCUAGGUUAUAGAAACUCAUAGAAUUUCUACAACUUUGUGACACAAAAUAUUUCUUGGAAGUACAAGUAUAUAUGCAUGCAUGAAUGUAAUCCACUAACUUCAAAUUAUAGGAAUGUAAAAAAUAAUAAUGGAGGAAAUGACAUACGUACAUAUGUGCAUGCAUGAAUCUGUAUUCACAUUAGUUACUGAAAUAUUUACUAUAUAUAUGAACAACAUAUAUCAUAGUUUAAAUUUUGGAUGUUGACAAAAAAAAAAUUUGGAUAGAAAAGCAUCUUGAUACGAGUUGUUACAGUUUUAUCAAUUCUGAUAUAUGUACAACAAUUAAACACUACUGGAUAUAUUUGUAUUAAUUACUACUGUAGCAACUAAACAAUUUUGAAUGGAUGUCAUUCAACGUCGAAAUAUGAGAUAAAAAUAAAUAUUGAAGAAAAAGACAGCUUCUCAAACAUUGAAAUCAAACUACAACAUAAUAUAAAAAGGAAAAUGUGUUUCAAGCAAAACUUAAUUUACUAAAGUUACUAAUGAAUUUCUUUACUAAAAAAAUGUGAUGAACUUAUUCUUACAAACUUUAUAAUAUAUACCUAGAUUUGCUUGAAACAACUAUCUAAUUUAUUUCCGUUUUAUGUCUUUUUUGCUUAAAUAUUUUGUUUUAUGUGGUUGCACUAAAAAUAAAUAGUAUGGAAUAUGACAUAAAUUACAAAUACUGAAAACAUGUAUAAAUACAUACAUAGACAUAGCAUAAUUUACCCUAAAAAUCGAUAGCAUCCAAUUAUAGAUGAAUCGAAAUUAGAAUUCCCCCAAAUAAUAUCUUACAAAGGUUCAAAAAGUAAUAUCUUAGCUUUACACGAUUUGGCUGUAUUAUUAGGUCUAUAUAUCUGUAUAUAAUAAAUAUGUCGUAAUGCAAAUUAUAUCAUUCCGUUAUAUAUAAUUUCUCAAAACUGUUAAUCAAUAUGCGUAGUAUAUGUAUUAUUUUCAUCUAUUAUAAAAUUAUAUGAUUAUUAGCAUCUUAUUGUUUGGAAGCUAGCGAAGUUCGAGAAUGUGGAAUCAAGUGGAAGUAGUUCCCAAUAAAAGUAGAAGUAUAUUGUAAGACUAUAAAAUAAAAAGUAAAACUCGGAUUAGUGGAGAAUUUAACUAAAUAUUUACACAUUUCAUAGUUACAUAAUAACAAUUUUCAUGUAAUCAAAUAUAUAUAUAUAUAUAUACUAAAUAUACGGUUUCACGUUAAUUACUAAUAAUAAGAUCUUCAAAGAAAACAACAAAAAGCUUUGUCAAGCGUCUUAGUAGCAAUGUCUCGGCUGUCUUAGUAGCAGAAGCUCUUGCGGUUAAAGCUGGUCUGAAGGUAGUUCGGUCUUUGGGUUUGCGCAAACUGGUCUUAUGGUCAGAUUCCAGGUCUCUAAUACUGGCCAUCAACGUCAAGGAAAACAUUGUUGAAGUCCAAGGAGUUCUCUUUGAUAUUUCUUAACUAUGUACUUCCUUUUUAUCCAUUUCUUUCUUGCGUACUCCUAAAGUUAACAAUGUAGAAACAGAUGCGCUUGCGAAAAGAGCACUGCUAGAACUACCUCACUCUGUUUGAGUGUUUGAUUUAAUAUUAAUGAAGGUUUGUUCAAAAAAAAAAAUUUUAAAUACGUUAGUUUCAUUUAUUCUAGAUAAUUUACAACCAAGACUUGUUUUAAGCAAAUUUUAUCUAGAACAUAUAUAUAAUUAUGCAUCAUAUAUAUACUGCUAAUUGUGAACGUCAUUUUAUCCACCAAAAUUCGAGGUUGGUGAUACGUCAGCCAUAUAUAUGUAUAUAUAUUGCUGCAUAAUUUUUCUUUAUCAUAUAAUGUCUUUGUAUACAUCAAAUUAUUGUUUCUAAGUUUUCGGUUAGGUUCAGUGAUCAUUCUCUAUCGGGGGACCCUCAUAGAUACACCCCAAAAGGCUUUGGUCUUGAUAUUUGUGAAAAUUAUUCACCUUCAUUUUUCUCUUUUAUAUACUAAACCCUAUAUAAUAGUACAACUGUGUAAUCAUGGUGGAUUUUCUUUAACAAAAAUAUUCAUAAUGAAUUUUCUCAAAAUAUGCAACAAGGAGAUAUAUAUUCAUACAUUGUAUAUAUAGUAUAAUAAAUAACAUUUCCACAUGGCUACCCAAAAGUUGCUCACAGUGUGAGUAUAAAAUACAUUCUGGUAUUAUAUUUUGAUUAUUAGGAAUCUCAUUUUGAGGAAUGAUGAUAAGGAAAUAUAAUCAUUGCUGAAAAAUAUAUAAUGUUUUUCUUAUGUGAAGCUAUUAUUAACUCUUUGGUUUCAAUAUAUAACGCAUUCAUCAUGAUUUUGUUGUACAUGCAUAAUAUAUUAUAUGCGACACUCUGUUGAUUUUCCAUAUAACCGAGCUCAGGAGACCUUCGAUUACUUUAUCAGCUGAUAUUUUAGAAUUACAAACUGUCAAAUACAAUCUUGAAUUAUUUUUGAUAGUUAUGUGAAACAAAGUUGGAGGCGGAUUUAAUUAAUAAUGCUGGAGUCGGAUUUAAUUAAUAAUGUAGGAAGUUUAGGGUAAUGCAUGAUUGCAUGUGACGUGAUCGAUCUAUCAUAAAUUUUGCCGUGAGCCUGUAACCACUGCUCGGAUUCCUCCGCUACAAAGUCAAACUUGUUUAUACAUGUAUGAUGUAUACUUGUAAGUUGUAAUUACAAAUCGAUACAUCUACACACACAUAUAUAUAUACACACAUGUAUAAGAAACAAGUUCACAUAAUUCAUAAUCUAACAUGGCAAAAUAUUUGAAUAAAGGUGCUUAUUUUGACUAAUUUUAAAUUAAUUGUUUUGGUUUCUUAAUGAAUUCGUUAGAAUAACGUUGAAUUGUAAUAUCUGCUAGCUAAUUGAUGAUGUUUUGUCAACUGUUAAUUAAUUAAUAAGUAUUCCACCAAGAAAUAAACAAGAGCAUAAUAGUUUAUUACAAGAUUUCUUUGUGUUCUUCUUUAUUCCAAGGGAUUAUAGGAGAAGCAAACACAUGAGACCACAUGAAAUUCCGAUUUGAAAGAGUCACGUGAAUUAUUAUAAACACUAUAUACAUGUUUGACUAAUGACCCUUAAGUAUGGUUAGUGUUGUAGCUCGUUACCGGUCGGUCGAAAUUAGGAUUAUUAAACUGGAUGGUCAGUCAAAGUAGAUAGUCGCAAGAUCAUAAUAAACAAAGUAUCACACACAAUGUUCUUUGACUAAAUAAUUUUAACAUAACAUAACUAGUGUUACAACAUUAAAUUAAGGUUCUAGUAGUAAGGAUAUAAAGCUCCAUAAUUUUUUUUUUUGAUAACUUUGGUAUCUGGGCAGUCACAUUCCCAACUAUCCCUCUAAAAGGGGUCCAGCGCCCCAACGGAAGAGAUGUUAAAUCCGUUGUGGUCAAGACUCGAACUCGGGUGGCGGGCAGUACAGCUGUACCUCCUUUACCACCAAGCUACGAGCGCUUGGUUAAAGCUCCAUAAUUUAAACGGUAUGAUCAGAUUAACCAUAUGAUAUGCCUAUAAUACAACACUGCAUUACGACAAAUUCUAGUAUAACAUUAACUAGAUCUCGACCCGCGCAACCGCGCGGGUGUUUGUUUCCCUUUUAAUUGAUAUAAGAUAUUUGACUUAAAAUUUUAAAUUGGUAUAUAUUAUAAUAUAUAUAAUGUGUGUCUAUUAAUUUUUAAAAUAUAAUAAUUUAACCAUAUAUCUUUCUAUUGAAUAGGUUAUUUUAAACUUUCACAUACGUCAGUUUUAUUAUGUUUUUUGGAUUGUUAUUUCAUUAUUUAACUCUUAAUUUUAUAUAAAGAUUGGUAAAUAUUGUUUUAUUGUUACCUCGAAAGAUAUUGUAAUAUUUUACAAAUUUAAAAAGUUUUAUAAUUUAAUUUUUACAUUCAUAUAUUAUGGGGUAUACUUGUUAUCCAUCAAAUAGAUUGUUUCAAAAUUCACAUGUGUUUGUUUGUUUGUUAUAUUAUAUUUUGUUUGAUGGAUUAGUAUUUCAUUAUUGAAUAAAAAAUAGAAAUAGAAUUUGGAAAAUAUUAAAAUAUUAUUAUCUCCAAAUAUAAUCAAACUUUUCACAAAAUAAGAAACUUAGCAAAAAUUAAACUUUAAGCUUCAUGUAUAGAUUUUAUAAAGAAUAUAAUUAUUCAUUUAAUUAUAUUUUUUUUAAUGAAUUAUCUGAUUUUAAAAGUUAAGAUUGUAAAGAGUUAAAUAUUAUACAUAUGGGUCAAGUAGUCUUUAAAAUAUAAAUCUAAUGGGUCAAGUAUUCUUUAAAUUCAAUUAUUCAAAGUCCAAAGUGAGAUUAAUGUUUUGUAAGCCCAAAAUGAUCGUUAACAGAUUUUUCUCCGGGAAAAAAACGUGUCUGUCUACCUAACCAUUUUCUUUGGUUUAUGUCUUCUCUUUAACCUAGACACGAUCCUAACUACGAUCCUCGAGCUAUUUGAUCGACUAAAUCCGUCUCUCAGACACCAUCCUCUCUUGACUCCCGACCAAGAUCAAACGGAGAUCGGUACUGUUUCGAAGGAGAUAUGAAAAUCUCAGCGGAAGAAUAUAUGGAGCUCUGAUGGAGCUCUACCCUAAUAUAAUUUCAUAUGCAAUUCCGAUCAGUACAUGAAAACAGAGGAAAGUUUCAUCUGAUGGAUACCUGAAGAAAUGGUAAUGGAGCUUACCACAACCAAAAAUCAUUAAAGACGCCUAACUCCAUUCACUAUAAGUGCAGGUAAAGUAUAAAAAUUGACUUAUUGAGAGUGUUAUGGUUUCUUAAGCUCUGUUUUUGUAAUCUCUGCAGAGAAUCAGCUUGAAUAUGACUGAUAUGGAAGAUAGUGAUAUGGAAGAUCUCUGCAGAGGAGCUGUUGAAUGAUCUUGAGAUCAAGAAACAGAGCUCGUACAUGGGUGGGGCGUCUCAAAUAUUUUAGGUAAGUUCUGUAUCAUCUAUAAAUUAGUUACAAAGUUCAAGGAUUGACUUCAAAAUUUAUUCUCUUAACAGUUUUAAAUUACAAACAGGCUCCAAGGAAAGCCAAGGAAUUAUAUUGUGAGGAAGAUCGUGAGGAAUGAUAAGCCCAGCUAACCAAGAUGAAUCCAAUCUGACUCGUGCUAUUCGAUAAGUCAGGUUAGUUUUUUAGAACCAUUUAACGUUUGCUAGAAAAUCUAAGUGGUCUGGUUAGAUAAGAAGGGAAAUUUAGAAAGGAAUCCUAGAUAAUUGUUUUCAUUGGUUUAAUGUGGUAUAGUUUCAUCGGUUUAUUGUUUUGGCUGUGAGUUGAUUGUAUGUUGCAUAACUUGGUUUAAUUGUCUUUAUUUCU